rnacentral:rRNA from 1 species
AACGAACGCUGGCGGCAUGCCUAACACAUGCCAGUCGAACGAGACCUUCGGGUCUAGUGGCGCACGGGUGCGUAACGCGUGGGAACCUGCCCUUAGGUUCGGAAUAACUCCCCGAAAGGGGUGCUAAUACCGGAUAAUGUCUUCGGACCAAAGAUUUAUCGCCUUUGGAUGGGCCCGCGUUGGAUUAGCUAGUUGGUAGGGUAAAAGCCUACCAAGGCGACGAUCCAUAGCUGGUCUGAGAGGAUGAUCAGCCACACUGGGACUGAGACACGGCCCAGACUCCUACGGGAGGCAGCAGUGGGGAAGAUUGGACAAUGGGCGAAAGCCUGAUCCAGCAAUGCCGCGAGAGUGAUGAAGGCCUUAGGGUUGUAAAGCUCUUUUACCCGGGAUGAUAAGGACAGUACCGGGAGAAUAAGCUCCGGCUAACUCCGU